GGUUUUACCUACCUAGCGGAGCUAGAGCAUACGCUUUGGGACCCGAAAGAUGGUGAACUAUGCCUGGGCAGGACGAAGCCAGAGGAAACUCUGGUGGAGGUCCGCAGCGAUUCUGACGUGCAAAUCGAUCGUCAGACCUUGGUAUAGGGGCGAAAGACUAAUCGAACCAUCUAGUAGCUGGUUCCCUCCGAAGUUUCCCUCAGGAUAGCUGGCGCUUAAUGACAACCGGUCUCAUCCGGUAAAGCGAAUGAUUAGAGGCCUUGGGGCCGAAACGACCUCAACCUAUUCUCAAACUUUAAAUGGGUGAGAAGUCCGGCUUGCUCGACUGAAGCCCGGACGUCGGACGCGAGUGCCAAGUGGGCCAUUUUUGGUAAGCAGAACUGGCGAUGCGGGAUGAACCGAACGCCGGGUUAAGGCGCCCGAUGCGAGACGCUUAGCAGACCCCAUGAAAGGUGUUGGUUGCUAUAGACAGCAGGACGGUGGCCAUGGAAGUCGGAAUCCGCUAAGGAGUGUGUAACAACUCACCUGCCGAAGCAACUAGCCCUGAAAAUGGAUGGCGCUUCAGCGUCGAGCCCAUACCCGGCUCCUUCGGCAUAUUCUAAGCCGA
rnacentral:rRNA from 1 species